rnacentral:rRNA from 1 species
CUACCAGGGUAUCUAAUCCUGUUCGCUACCCACGCUUUCGUGCCUCAGCGUCAAUGUUGGCUUAGUGAGCUGCCUUCGCAAUCGGUGUUCUACAUCAUAUCUAAGCAUUUCACCGCUACAUGAUGUAUUCCGCCCACUUCAACCAGAUUCAAGCUAUGCAGUUUCAAUGGCAAUUCCGCAGUUGAGCUGCGGGCUUUCACCACUGACUUAUAUAGCCGCCUACGCACCCUUUAAACCCAGUGAAUCCGGAUAACGCUUGCACCCUCCGUAUUACCGCGGCUGCUGGCAC